ACUCCUACGGGAGGCAGCAGUGGGAAGUAUUGCACAAUGGGGGAAACCCUGAUGCAGCCAUGCCGCGUGUGUGAAGAAGGCCUUGGGUUGUAAAGCACUUUCAGUAGGGAGGAAGGUAGUGUAGUUAACACCUGCAUUAUUUGUACGUUACCUACAGAAGAAGCACCGGCUAACUCCGUGCCAGCAGCCGCGGUAAUACGGAGGGUGCGAGCGUUAAUCGGAAUUACUGGGCGUAAAGCGCAUGCAGGCGGCCUGUUAAGUCAGAUGUGAAAGCCCGGGGCUUAACCUCGGAAUUGCAUUUGAAACUGGCAGGCUAGAGUCUUGUAGAGGGGUUAGAAUUUCAGGUGUAGCGGUGAAAUGCGUAGAGAUCUGAAGGAAUACCAGUGGCGAAGGCGGCCCCCUGGAC
rnacentral:rRNA from 1 species